GUUGUGUCCACUGAAAACUAAAAAAAUAAAUAAAUAUUAAAAAAAAAAAAAAAACAGAACAUUUUUUAGUUCUCUGCUACUGGAGUUACUCCAUUAUUGAGAGUUUGAUUACUAAACUGUAUUUCUAGUUCAGUCAUUAUUUCUGAGCUCCAUUCCCACUAAUUCAGAAGCCUAGUGAACACUUCUACUAGGGUAUCUAUAGACACCUCAAACUCAAACUAAAAUUAUCAGUUUCCCCCAAAAAAACUCCUUCUUCAGUUCCUCAACCAAAGUGUCAAUGUCACCUCAACCCUUCACUUCGCAAAGUCCAUGUGAUACCACAAAACAUUUCCCCAUCUCCUAUCCACCUCUACAACGUCUGGCCUCUCCCCUCCCCACCGCAGGACAAAGACAUGCCUAUCACACAAAGGCUUUCCUGACGUGUCCCCUCUGCCCUCUUUCCUGCCUCUCCUCGUCAGUCAUUCCUAAUGCACACCCCUUACAUCUCAGAUCAGAGUUGAAAAUAAGCUCCCACUGCAGCCAGGCAGGUAAUGCUCUUGAGUAAAGCACAUUGGGUAGGAACCUGUUAUGGUUUGGAUAUGAGGAGUCCCCAAAAAGCUCAUGUGUGAGACAAUGCAAGAAGGUUCAGAGAAGAAAUGAUUGGCUUAUGAGAGACUUAACCCAACAGUGAAUUAAUCCCCUGAUAGGGAUUAACUGACUGGUAACUGAAGCUGGUAGGGUGUGGCUGGAGGA
rnacentral:lncRNA from 1 species